CUUGCACCGAGGCACUGUGGACCACAGUCUGGCGAGAGCCUGAGCCUGCUGGGGGCCCCAGGGGAGAGCUUCGAGAAGGGAAUGCUUCGAGGGGUAGACAAUUGAUAGGGAGUUUGGUAACAGGAACUUGGGAACAAGCUAAGAACAAAACAAAGCAAAGAAUAUUAACUUCAGAAAGACAAAAUGUUGUUUAAGGAAGUGUACAUAGCAUAGUGUACUCUGCGAUCAGCUGUGAAUAGCAUUUUCAUAGUCAUUGCGAUGUGAACACUGAUGAUUGAUUCUUUUUCUUUUCUUUUUCAGCCUGAGUUUCACCCUGUCACCCAGGGUGGAGUGCAGUGGUACUAUCUCGGCUCUCGGCAACCUCUGCUCCUGGGUUCAAGCGAUUCUCCUGACCCUGUCAGGGUGAAGGAAGGGGAGACCCUGUUGGCAUCACAAGAGAAUCUGGGUCAAGCCAUGCCUGAAGCUGGUCAAUCCAGGGCCCUCUGCAUUUUAGGAGCCAGUUUUGUGAAAUUUCCCUCUGAGGCUGCUACUCUGAUGGUUGGUGUUUCUGGACUGACUGCAAGAGGCCAUCCUGGUGGGGCUGGACCCCCUUAGCUCUGGCUGAUGAAGCCACUGCUCGGGACACCCAGAAUCUUGGCUCCUCCAGGAAGAUAAGUUCCCCAGGGACAGGGACUCCUACUUGUUUGUUCACUGAUGUGUCCCAUGAGCCUAGAGAAGUACCUGGAUCAGAGUCCCUUCUCAGCAAAACUGCCAGGGUGGAACGGAUUAGGACCUGUUCCUGCACUAGCUGAAGCCAGGAUGCAUGGCACACCUUUUCAAAAACCUCCUUUGGGUCGGGUGCAGUGGCUCAUGCCUGUAAUCCCAGCACUUUUGGAGGCUGAGGCAGGUGGAUCACCUGAGGUCAGGAGUUCGAGACCAGCCUGGCCAACAUGGUGAAACCCCAUCUCUACUAAAAAUACAAAAAUUA
rnacentral:lncRNA from 1 species